GAAGCGGCACUCAAGAUGGUAGGAGAAUGAGCUCCUGUUUCGGAGCUGCGCCGCGAGGCCCGCCUGCGCCGCGAGUACCUGUACCGCAAGGCCCGGGAGGAGGCGCAGCGCUCAGCCCAGGAGAGGAAGGAGCGGCUGCGGCGCGCGCUGGAAGAAAACCGCCUGAUUCCCACUGAGUUACGCCGAGAGGCUCUGGCCUUACAGGGGUCCCUGGAGUUUGAUGAUGCUGGAGGUGAAGGUAACUAUACAAGGUAGCCCUCCCCAACACUGAGCUGGCAGGUCUCCAGUCCUUCCUCAGACACACCGGGCACCAUCCCAUCAGAGGAAACUGCUCCUGGAACUGUCCCCCAUGCCCUUGUCACUGCACAGAUGGCAUUGCAGGGCUCUCCCUGAGUGUGCCCUGUCCCACUUACAUGGCACACAUGGGAGUGCCUCACUGACUCUGCACCUGGCUUGUUAAUUACCUCCCCCACUGGAGUGCCUGCUGGGGAAAGACAGUGUCCCUCACACAUUAUUGGUGCCCAUACGUUUAUUCACUGCAUUAUU
rnacentral:lncRNA from 1 species